GCCCUCCACUAAUCAAUAUGGCACUGUUUGGUGCGCAUUCCGAAUGUGAUUGGGCCUUGUGGGCCUUGCCUACAAUUUACCCACUUGUAGCAGUCAAAAUCACUGCUCAGAACUUGCCCACUCCUAUCCUACAACAGCUCUGGCCACUGAUGCCCAUUUCUCUCCACAUGAUUCCUUCUUUCCUUUUGUUUCAGGGAAAAAAAAAGAGCCUUUUGCAAACAAAUUUCCGCGUUUCCUAUGUCGGCCUUUCUAGAAUUCUCUUGGAUGCACAUGUGAUUCGACCGUUUUCCAUCACAAUUUGGCUUUCUAACUGAGAAACGAAUCCAUCAGAUCAAUUUGCAUUCGGAGUAUUGUGCAUGAUUUGGUUAGCUUAAUUGACUUUCCGGUUGACUAGGAUGAUGCAUUCGACCCCCCGAAUCCAUCGCUGUCUCCCACUUAACCCAUUUAUAUAUAAUCAGCAGAUAGCAUAUCUCAUCCCAUCACCACCGACGGCCCCUCCUCUUGCUGUUGCACAACCCAAUAAAGUCCUGUCGAUGCCAACGCAUGCCGCAUUAGAGAGCUAACAGCACUGAAUUAGGCCUCUCUAAACAUGGAGAAAAGCAAGUCGUUUAACGGUUACUCAGCAUCUUACUCAGAAAUAAGGCUCGGGUUCGAGGAGAGGUCCAAAUCGUAUAGCUUCAAUGGCCCGAGCAACGCGCCCGAUGGGUUGGAUAUUUCCGGGAACCCGGAGCUUAAGAGGAGGAGGAGGGUGGCCAGCUACAACAUGUACACGAUGGAGGGCAAGCUCAAGUCCUCGCUGCGCAACAGUUUCAAGUGGAUCAAGAGCAAGUUCUCCGAUGAUUUCUCCAGCAUGUAGAAUGCAGCAGAUUCUACCGUUAUUCCUUCUUCCUGCUGCACGGUGGAGUUCGGUAAGAAACUGUUAUAAAGAAUCAGAAGCUGGAGAAUAGCUGAGACAGACUAAACCGAGAAUGCGAUUUCCUGGCUCACGACUUGUGUAUCUAGUGAAAAUGUCCAUCACUUUGAAUCUUCUCUUUUUGCUCAGUAAGUGUAAUGGGGUUGAGAUAUUUCGAGUUGAGUGAAGAUGGGAUGUGAUUUGCAGCGUUGAAUUCCAAGUUCUAGUUACCGCAAAAUGAAUACGAAAGAUAUGAAUGAGUAAAUAUCCGUGCAA